rnacentral:rRNA from 1 species
CGCGGCAUGCCUUACACAUGCAAGUCGAACGGCAGCACGGGUGCUUGCACCUGGUGGCGAGUGGCGAACGGGUGAGUAAUACAUCGGAACGUACCUUAUCGUGGGGGAUAACGCAGCGAAAGUUGCGCUAAUACCGCAUACGCCCUGAGGGGGAAAGCGGGGGACCGUAAGGCCUCGCGCGAUUAGAGCGGCCGAUGUCUGAUUAGCUUGUUGGUGAGGUAAAAGCUCACCAAGGCGAUGAUCAGUAGCUGGUCUGAGAGGACGAUCAGCCACACUGGGACUGAGACACGGCCCAGACUCCUACGGGAGGCAGCAGUGGGGAAUUUUGGACAAUGGGGGCAACCCUGAUCCAGCAAUGCCGCGUGAGUGAAGAAGGCCUUCGGGUUGUAAAGCUCUUUUGUCAGGGAAGAAACAGCAGCUCUAACACAGACUGCGAAUGACGGUACCUGAAGAAUAAGCACCGGCUAACUACGUGCCAGCAGCCGCGGUAAUACGUAGGGUGCGAGCGUUAAUCGGAAUUACUGGGCGUAAAGCGUGCGCAGGCGGUUAUACAAGACAGGCGUGAAAUCCCCGGGCUUAACCUGGGAAUGGCGUCUGUGACUGUAUAGCUAGAGUGUGUCAGAGGGGGGUGGAAUUCCACGUGUAGCAGUGAAAUGCGUAGAUAUGUGGAGGAACACCAAUGGCGAAGGCAGCCCCCUGGGAUAACAC